UGCGUUACUUGUUCCAACACUUGGGCGGCAAAGAAAAACAGGGGUCGGGGGAGGGGGUACCGUCUUAAGAUUGAUUUCAAGCAGUUUGAAAAAAGAAAGACCUAAUUUAUUCGCCUCGUUCCGCCACAUGAUUUGGAACACUAAAAACCAGGCUCUUCGAGAAGAAAAGUUAAAGAGAGGUUUUUAUUAAGAUCCUUAGCCGUACAAUAAUUAAGAGUGGAAGGAUUUUAGUUGUCUUUAUCAGGCUUUUUAAAAUAAGUCUUUCGUUUAUGUUCCGAAGUUUGGAAGCUGGUCAGGGUUUAAAUCCAUUGUCAAGACCACGAGGUCAAAACUCUUUAAUCAGAUGGUCUUCCAGUCAACAGUUAAAAUAAUCUUUACAAGAACAACUUACCUUGUCAAUAAAUGAUUGAGUGGCUCUGUUAAAAACCUGA